rnacentral:guide_RNA from 1 species
AUACAACAAAAGAUGCCAUAGAUAAGAUAGAU